GGGGAAUUGUUCGCAAUGGGCGCAAGCCUGACGACGCAACGCCGCGUGGAGGAUGAAGAUUUUCGGAUCGUAAACUCCUGUCGAAUGGGACGAAUAGAUUGCGGGUUAACAGCCCGUGAUCCUGACGGUACCGUUAAAGGAAACCCCGGCUAACUCCGUGCCAGCAGCCGCGGUAAUACGGGGGGGGUAAGCGUUGUUCGGAAUUACUGGGCGUAAAGGGCUCGUAGGCGGCCAACUAAGUCAUACGUGAAAUCCCUCAGCUUAACUGGGGAACUGCGUGUGAUACUGGAUGGCUUGGAUUUGGGAGAGGGAUGCGGAAUUCCAGGUGUAGCGGUGAAAUGCGUAGAUAUGCGGAGGAACACCGAUGGCGAAGGCAAUCCCCUGGGCCUGCACUGACGCUCAUGCACGAAAGCGUGGGGAGCAAA
rnacentral:rRNA from 1 species